AUUUAAAUAGCUUAAAAUUAAGAGUUUAAUAUUGAAGAUAUUAAGGUGAUUGUAAAAAUCUUUAAAUA
rnacentral:tRNA from 2 species